GCGGUGGAUUAUGUGGAUUAAUUCGAUGCAACGCGAAAACCUUACCUACCCUUGACAUGCUAGGAACUUGCCAGAGAUGGCUUGGUGCCCGAAAGGGAACCUAGACACAGGUGCUGCAUGGCUGUCGUCAGCUCGUGUCGUGAGAUGUUGGGUUAAGUCCCGCAACGAGCGCAACCCUUGUCAUUAAUUGCCAUCAUUCAGUUGGGCACUUUAAUGAGACUGCCGGUGACAAACCGGAGGAAGGUGGGGAUGACGUCAAGUCCUCAUGGCCCUUAUGGGUAGGGCUUCACACGUAAUACAAUGGUCGGUACAGAGGGUUGCCAACCCGCGAGGGGGAGCCAAUCCCAGAAAACCGAUCGUAGUCCGGAUUGCAGUCUGCAACUCGACUGCAUGAAGUCGGAAUCGCUAGUAAUCGCGGAUCAGCAUGUCCGCGGUCGAAUACGUUCCGGGCCUU
rnacentral:rRNA from 1 species